AACUAUAGAGACUUUUCAUUUCUCUUCUAAUUUAAUUAUGUGACAUUUGCUAUGCCUAUGAGAUCCUAUUCAUUUCUUGUAAUUUAUGUGCUCUAUAAAUAGAUCUUUUUCACUUUUCAUUAUCAUCAUACCUUUCUUUUUUUUCUUUGUACCAAUAUCUUAUUUCUAAUUUUAAAUUCGUUUUUUCCUUUAAGUUUGAUUAUCACAAAUUUUAAUUUUUGUUUUUUUUGUUAUGACAGUACUCAAGAAUCAACACUUAUCAAUGUUGUGACACUACUACAAAAUUCACUAUUCACGUCGGUCAACGCGACUAUUCAUCGCGUUGACCGACGUGAAUAGUACCAUAUUAAAGAUAUUCGUCGUUUGUAAAAUGACACAAAUAAUAAAUGAUUUGCGUCGGUUGUAUAUCCCUCACAAAUUAGAUAACUGACGAAAAAAGUAUAAUGAUUAAAAAAAAUACAUAAUUAGCGUCAUUUUAUAAGCCUCACAAAUUCUUUGUGUGUCGUUUUUAAACCGACGGUAAAGGAUUUGCUUAAGUGAGAAAAUGACGGAAACCCUCUUAGGUUCACUUACCCCCAAAUUUCUUACAGACCAAAAUCAUUCCUUCAUUCUGCGUGAACCCAUUUUGGUCAGCCGCCUCAGCUCCGAAGGUCACGCAAUUUUGCAGACAAAAUUUUUCUCCUCAGCUCACGCAAUUUUGCUCUACUGUGCCUCAGAUUUUUCCUCCGUCGGCGCCGUAAGUCCCCUACGCUCACGCUGUUGUGGUCUCGAUCUCCUUGACCUCCAAUGCAUUGCAUAAAAUGUUGAUUUUGGAAGUUUGGAACCAUGAGUCUUUUGUAAAGGUUAAAGUACCUGGGGGGCGAGGGAAGCCAUCCAUAAUUGUUGACAUUGACAAGGAUGAAGGUCUAAGUUCGAUGCUGCAAAAUUGAGAAAACUCAGACCGGAUUUCAAGUAGAGCAGGGGCUCUGUUACAGCUGGCAAUGCUUCUAUCAUAAGGUUCCCCCUCUUUCUCCCCCAACCAAAAAAUAGAAAGUAAUUUUGUUUUAAGUGUGGUAAUGCAAUUGGAUAUGUUGUUUCUUGUGUCUUCUGUUUUGAGGCUUGUACUGUCUAAAUAUUAAUAUACAUUUCAGCAACUGGUUUAGUAACUGCGAUUCUUGUAGUUUAUACUACAACAAAACUGGUUUAUAUUCUAGGGUUGCAGAUUUUAAGUAGCCUUAAUAUGGUUUGGUUCCUUUAUCAUGAAUAGUGAUGGUGCGGCUGCAUUAGUCCUAGUGAGUGGAGAGAAAGCACUUCAACUUGGAUUGUAAGUAAUUGCAAAGAUUAAGAGAUUUGCUAAUGUAGCUUAGGCACUUGAAUUCUUCACAAUUGCUCCAGCCCUUGUGAUUCCAAAAUCCAUUUUAAAUGCUGGUUUAGAUGCUUCUCAGAUUGAUUACUAUGAAAUAAGAAAUUUUUUGUUAUAGCUCUAGCCAAUCAAUAGCUGCUUGGUUGUAAUCCUAAUGCCUUAAUGUACAUGGUGGGGCUGUAUCAUUGGGACACUCACUUGGAUACAGUGGAGCUAGUAUCUUGGUCACAUUGUUAGAGGUACUGAGACAUUAAAAUGUAAAGUACGGGGUUGGUGCCAUAUGCAAUGGUGGUGGGGGAGCUUCUUCACUUGUUCUUGAGCUCAUGUGAUGUUGGGUGUUGAUCGUCUUGACAUGAUCAAAGGAAUCCCACAGAAGAUUUUGGCUUUCGAAAAGUUCCUAGAGGAGAAUCCAAGCUGGCGUGAUAAAGUAGUUCUACUUCAAAUUGUUGUGCCAACAAGAACAGAUGUUCCAGAAUGUAUGUUCAUUAUCAAAAUAUGUUCCUACCCACUGUCUGUUAUGCCUAUUUUUUUUAAGUCUAUCUGUAGUUUGUUGUCUAAUGUUAUUUCAAUCAUAUGACUAUCAUUAAAUUUAUAUCAUCUCGAUCAAUUUAUAAAUAAUAGAGUUGUUUAUUAUUGUAUAAUACAGAUCAAAUACACACACAAUGUUAUUGGUAUUGUGUGAUUAGUUAAUAUAAUCGAUUAUUAAUUUUAUGUAA